rnacentral:SRP_RNA from 1 species
AUCCUGUGAACUCCCCCAGGGCUGGAAGGCAGCAAGGGUCAACGGGCUCUGGCGGGUGCGCGGGGUCCCCUUUCCGA